AUUGAACGCUGGCGGCAGGCCUAACACAUGCAAGUCGAAUGGUAACAGGAAACAGCUUGCUGUUUCGCUGACGAGUGGCGGACGGGUGAGUAGUGUCUGGGAAACUGCCUGAUGGAGGGGGAUAACUACUGGAAACGGUAGCUAAUACCGCAUAACGUCGCAAGACCAAAGAGGGGGACCUUCGGGCCUCUUGCCAUCAGAUGUGCCCAGAUGGGAUUAGCUAGUAGGUGGGGUAACGGCUCACCUAGGCGACGAUCCCUAGCUGGUCUGAGAGGAUGACCAGCCACACUGGAACUGAGACACGGUCCAGACUCCUACGGGAGGCAGCAGUGGGGAAUAUUGCACAAUGGGCGCAAGCCUGAUGCAGCCAUGCCGCGUGUAUGAAGAAGGCCUUCGGGUUGUAAAGUACUUUCAGCGGGGAGGAAGGGAGUAAAGUUAAUACCUUUGCUCAUUGACGUUACCCGCAGAAGAAGCACCGGCUAACUCCGUG
rnacentral:rRNA from 1 species